AAAUACAAAACAGUAACUCCAAUUUCUGUAAUGCCUACCCUAAAGCUAAUUACACCAUGUGUGUCCAUAUCUUUUGCUUUCAAUAAGGCAUCAAGCGUUGUUUGAUACUUGCUUUCCACUAGUUGUCCAAUCUUUAACUAGAGCAGCCAAAUUUCCUACCUGGUAUACAUAAGUAACAUAUAAGCAAUAAAAAUGAGGAAAAAAAUCUAUGGAGAAAACAUGGACAUUUGAUUCAUCUCUUAUUUGUUUAUUCAUUUAUGCACUAUUUUAUGGACCAUUUUCAAGAUAGUACCCUUUUGGGUUCACUAUUAUUGGAUCAAAAUUUAAUUUUUUUAAUGAGUUGAAUAUUCAUUUUAGUUUAAGGAUUUGAUACCAUAUUAGAUAGCAUGAGGCUUCUUUCAAAAUUAAUUGGUGCCCCUAGCUAGAGUGAUGCAAAUUAAAUUCAUAAAUAAUAGAAUUAAGUUAUCAAGCUAGGAAUUCAAAUGAAUAACAAUGAAUUUUGAGCUCAAAACAAAUAUGAAAAUCAAAAUCAUUCACAUUCUUACAAAGACUCACCAUCCGCCUGAUAAUCCUUCUUUCCAAACACUGCAACAUCGAGUUCCACAAUAUUGAACAACUUAGUAACAACAGUAGCAACCCCUCUAAAGAACACAAGCCUACUUCUCCCACACAUGUCCUUCUCCAAAGCCUUAACCCUCACCGAUGUCUCAUCCUCUGAACCAGAUUCCUCCAAGCAAGAAACAUGGGCAUUCUAGGACAAUAUAGACUUUUCCUAGUUAAUUUAUCGGAUUUCUCCAUAGAUUUUUUUCCUCAUUUUUAUUGCUUAUAUGUUACUUAUGUAUACCAGGUAGGAAAUUUGGCUGCUCUAGUUGAAGAUUGGACAACUAGUGGAAAGCAAGUAUCAAACAACGCUUGAUGGCUUAUUAAAAGCAAAAGAUAUGGACACACAUGGUGUAAUUAGCUUUAGGGUAGGCAUUACAGAAACUGGAGUUAUUGUUUUGUAUUUAUUUGAACUUAUGUCUAACCAUUUAAUUGUAUUCUUGAAGUUGAUCAUUUGUGAUAUAGAUGCUAUAAUCGAUGUAAUUGAGAAAAAUUUUGUUCUUCCAUUAUCUUUAAUGUAUUAUUCCAACCCUUACUAGAUAGGUGCGAGAUGUGUACGAGACAGGAGGGAUAACAAUUUGAUUUUGAAAUUAAUAGUAAAAGUUUUGAAAUGUGCAAGGUAGGUGUGAGAUGUGUACGAGAUAGGUGCGAGAUGUGUACGAGAUAGGUGCGAGAUGUGUACGAGAUGUGUACGAGAUAGGCUAAAAGCGAUUAAAGAAAAGUUCAAUCAGUUUACAAGCCUAGAGGAUUAAUAGUGGAGAGUCGUGGAGAAGAAAUUGAUGGAAGUGGAAAAGAAAUGGAUGGAAGAGAAGAAACAUUCACCGGAGGCACCAAAAGUUGGAAGGAAAGAGAAAAGAGGAAGGAGGAAAUUAAAUGAGGGUAUUUCGUCAUUUCACUUCUAAUUUAUCCUAAAUGUCAAUUUUUUUACAAUCAAUCCUAAAAAUCUUUAUCUACCCCAUUUUUGGCCUAUUUUUGUCAAUUCCCCAACUUUGACGGGAGAGGGUUUUGUAUAAAAGGCAAUAAUAAUAAUUCCUAUUCUUCUUAAUAUUAUUUAUUAAUAAAAAUAAUUAAAAGUUUAAAUAAUCCAUCACACAUAUACUUCUUAUCAGUUAUUAGAAUGAAAAAAAAAAGUUAACAAAUAAAAUUUGUAAAAUUAUCAUACAUCGAGAACAAAAAAAAUACAUUUGUGAAAUAAAAAAAAAACUGUAUAAAAGAUAAAAAAUGAAUUACCUUAAUUUUAAUAAUAUUUUAUAUCUUAUCUUGAAAGAUAUAAAAAAUAUUAAAAUGUAUCUAUCUCGAAAUAGGUUUUCAACUACGUCCCAAGUGGAAUAAAAAAUUGUUACCAAACUCUUAAAUAUAGAAUUUCAUAAUCUCUCCAUAAUUUGUAUGUUAGUAUGAGUUUGUAGGGUGUGUUUGUCCCAUGAAGUUAGAAGUAGUGUAUAAAAGUUGAAGUUGUAAAAUCCAGUUCUUGUUUGACUUAAAUAGUUGGCGGAUCAUUAUUAGAAAUUUAAUUCUAAGCACUCUACUUGUCCAACAUUACAAUUUAUUCAAUUAGAUAGUUAAAAAAAAUGACGUCACAAGGUUCUUUAUUAAUGUCCCUACAAUUCCUUCUUCCAUCUAAUGCUACAAAUAUGAACAAUCAGCAUUCACGAAAGGACAAAAAUUGAACUACAUACAGUACAACAAGAAAACAGAUAAAGUCAAAGCCAAAGUACAUUGUAUUGAUGCCAAACUUGUUUACGAAGCUCAUGAAAUAGAAGUUGAUGCAGACCAUUGGUUGUUUCACACCAACUACUUUUCUAUAGAAAAAUAGCUUACCCAUAAAUUAAGAGACAAUAACCGAGGAGAGCAUAGAAGUUGGAAGGUAUUUACAUUGUUGUUGAUGCAAAGAGAUAGUAAGCAGAGGUUGUUAGAGGAUGUGGAACUUAAGAUCUACAGUAUGGUGGAUAAAUUAUUUGGGUCAACAGUAAUAUUUCAGAGUUUGGAAUGAUGAAAAGAGUUUAUAUACUGUGAUAUUCCAUUCAAAUGCACUUACCAUAAAAACGAGGUAGAAGAAAGGAAGAAGAAAGACUAACCUUGAAUCAUUAGCUUCAAGUGUCUAACAGUAGCAAAGGAUGGACUGGUAGACGACGAACACUAAGCAAAGCCAAUGUGGACGACGGUGAGAGAUCAGAAUGUUGUUGUAAAAUCGUGAGAGGCAGGGUAUCACAGUCGCCGUGUUGGGUUUUAGCGUGGCUUUAGCAGUUGUGCUAGAGCGCACUAUAGAGCAAAAAGAAUUAGAUUGAAAGAGGCCGAAAAUGGGGGAAAAUAUUUGGAGGGAACUUAAAUAUUUAUUUCCCACUUUUUCUUUGUUGUUCUUUUCCACAUCCCAUUUAAAAUAAUGGGCUAUUAAAAGUUCGUUUUUGGUGUAGUGCUAUUUGUGUCUCGAAUCGUCCAUUUUCGUUCAAACUACUUUAAAGAUACAAGUAUUAUAACCAACAACAAGAUCGAAAAGAAUUGGUCUAUGCAACUUCAACCUACGUGGCUUUAUCAGGUUCACACACACAAUGAGUGACUUUCCUUCGUUUGGAUCCAUUUCGAAAAUUGUACUCUAAUGGCCCAAAAUGAAAGGCCAUCGUCUAUUUACUCGAAUCCUAGCAAUAAUUUAUUCUCACUUAAAAUUUUAAACGUAUAUGGAAAGCCCACAAUGCUCGACCCAAAAUUAACGUAUAAAAAUACCAAACCAUAGUCUUGCCUAUUUGGUAGUUAAUUUGAAUCUCAAAGCCCAACCCCGAUUACAAGAACACUCUCUCAUGAGAGACCCCAUUAUAAGAACACAUUCUCAAAGUUUUUAACCACUCAUACUUUUUAUCCACUAUCCAACUAGAUAAUACAGAAGAAAUUUAAUUAGAGUAAUCACACUAAAACUUAAAAUGUUUAUAAGUGAGAAUUUCUAAAUAAAUGAAAUAGGUUUCUUUUAUAGGAUUUGAGUCUCAAUUUUCUAAAAAAAAGAUAACCACAUCUUGCCAAACCCAAUACUUAAAAACAAACAAAUCAAAUAAUUAUCUUUACAAAAAAAAAAACUAAAAAAAUACAAGUCGAUUCCUAUUUAUUAAAAUAAUAAAGAAAACCUGUUACCAAAAUAUGAAAUUUGUUUUUAAAAAAUCUACAUCUAAUGAUCUACCAUUUUCAUAAAUUAAUAAUUCUUUUGUGAUUUCACAUUGAGAUCAUAAAUAACUUAAAAUUACCAUGUCAGAAGGAAAUUUUGUUUGACAAGAGCCUAACUUAUAAAUGAAUGAUGGAAAAUAAUAUGGUGCAACCUUCAAAACAACAUAAAUAAGAAAAUAUUGCAACAUAGUUAGCAAAUAAGAGAAAAAGAGAAUGUAACCUGAAAAGGAAGUUUAUGAGUAAUUUCAUCAUUGUUGUGGUUUUGUCCAUGAUCUCUUUAAUAUUUUCUAUUAUCUUCAUUGCACUCCUAGUAAUUGAUACCCUUAGGCAACCACUGCUCAACAUGAUAGAACUAAGUCAUGCACAGCGGAAAAAAGAAUCGAAUUUCUACCCUAAUUGCCACAAUUAACAUGUAACCAUAAACUAAUCAAAUUAGGGUUUUAAGAAAUAUUACCUUUGAAGCUUUCAAAAGGUUUCAUAUCUUCUUACCAAUUCUAACAGAGACCACCACUAGUACUCAACUGCUAUCCUCUAGACAAUGAACCGGGUUGUGGGACCAAUUUUGUGUAGAAAGUAAUGGAGAUAAAAUGGGAUUGGAAUGUUUUUUUUCUUUGUUGAGAUGAUGAAAAAUGAUAAAAGAGGCAAAAGUUCUUCAACAUUUGAAAACACCUCUAUUUAUAACCUAAUUACAUGAAAAAAAUGCAUGCAAUUCAUUUGCCAAAUCUCAACACCUAAUGUUCCACUAACAAUUAGUGGAACUUAGUGGGCUAGGUGUCUAUAUCUCAUAUAGCCACAUAUCUCACUAAGAGUUAGUGGGAUUAUCCAACAAAAUGUUGGAUUUUCCCACUAACUUAGUCCAAGGGUAAAAUGGUCAUUAGAUAUUUCUAGUCAAAAGUCAAACUUUGACUUUUCUUAGUCAAAAGUCAAUAUUUUGACUUUUUACCAUUUUGUCGCGUCUUGACUAAUUCCAACCUCCCGAGCAUGAAUCCGCAUUCAUUUUUCCAAAAUUCAAAUCACAUUUGAAUAUAAGGCCGGUCAAAGUUUGGCUUUUCAAAGUUAAAAGUCAACAUUUGACUUUUUACUAUUUUUGACCAAUUCCAUCAAUUUCGAGCUUCUUAGUAUGAAUCCGCAUUCAUACUUAUAGUAUGUAAAACAUAAAGCUCUAUUUAAUUAGAAGACCAACGACUAUAUCACUAUAUUUGUCGGUUUCCCUUUCUUCUCCCAAUUCGAACAAUUCGACUUAUUUCAUCACACUGUUCUAAGUUUAAUCCAUAUGAGCUAGCAGAGGAACCUAAUGGACCUAUAGAUCAUGGGCUCCAACGAUUCAAGAUUAACUAGCUAAACUCUUUUUAAACCGAGUUAAUCAACAUUUGUUAACUAACGGGUCAUUCCACUAAAGUCCCGUAGUUGCACUCCUCACUAUAGAUAUAUUUGUGUCCAUUUGAUAAAACCAUAAUCAGUAAGUUAAUCCUUCACAUGUUGCUCGUAACCUUGGCUGGGUCAAAAUACCGUUUUACCCCCAAGAUUACAUCUUGCUCCUUAAGUCCCACUAAUCCACUAUUGAAUAAUUGGUUGAAGGUUCAACCUAUAAACUUAAUCCCUCUCGGGCCAAUGAGAGGGUGGGCCCCUUGUUCAAGACUUGGAUUCAGUGCUUAAGAGAACAACCUAUCUACUAACCCUAAAGCGGGUAGGAGUGAAUUCCAUCUUGUACCCUAUGUUCCCAGCUAUCCACCCGAUCUUACCCCUGAAAUGGGAGGCUUAUUGGGCCAACGCUGAUGAGCUGCCCUCACCUAUGCAGAUCUAAGGAUAAUCUCGUGUGAACAAGAGUUCAUAGUUAACUCAUGAUUAAGACUAAGUUACCUAGGUCAUCAAUAAUUGAGAUAGUCAGUUUUAAACAGUAAACGGUGUUAUAACGUAAAAAAGACUAAUUCAUGGUUCAGUCUUAUGUAAACAUUUUACAUAGGAUGCCCCCACUUUCAUGUCUCUACAUGAACGAUUAGAUCACAUCGUUUGUACUACAAAGUGGGCCGCAUCCAUAGUUUCUCUAAAUAAGGCGCCCAACCUUUAUUUCAUAUACUAUAGACUAUUUAGGCUAUAUACUCGAACUUGAUUCACGUUUAUGUUUACACAUAAAGUUCAAGUUUAUUCAAAAAAUAGCCUUGGAACUUGAUUUAUUGGAUUUAAGAUUAUAAUAUUUAAUUUCUCAAUAACAACUUUAUUGAACAGAAUAUGAUUUACAAACUACGAGUUUUAGGACAAAAAAUUCCAACACAACAUCCUUCUUACAAAAAAAAAUAGGCAAAAGACAAGGGGGCUUGUAGAGGUGAAUAAAACAAAGGGGGCAGAAUAGUAAAGGAUAAUGAAAACACAAAGAAAUGUAAUUACAGGGAGAACUAUUUGUGGGAGAAAUGGUAGAAUAAUUUGUAGAAAUUUGAUCGUCUUUUUAUGUUAAGAAGACAAGAAGAACAAAGGAUAACAUAAAAGCAAAUUAGAACUCUGUGGAGUUAUGAUGGAAAAAAACUAGCUGUGAGAGAAAGCUUGAAGAGAAAAUAAAUGAAAGGUACUCUGAUUUUGUGGACAAUGGCAAUCCACAACUCUGUUGUACAUUAUUUAAAAUAGAAAAUAGAAACUAGAAUAUGAACCUCAUUGAUAAAUAAACUGUAGCCUAACAAAAACCCUAAACCCCGAAUCCCUAACCCCUAAACCCCUUUGCUAUAGUAAAUGGUAUUUAAAAAUCUCAAAUUAACUAUCUUAAACACUAUUUCAAAUCCUCAAUUUCCUAUAAUAUUUAUUAUUUACUACGAUAUUUCUUAAAUUAUUUUUUUGUGAAGUUACAAAACUAUACUUGUUGAAAAAAAAAAAGAUGCAGUGGAAAAUACAUCCACAUAUAUUUUAACAAUUUCAAAAUUAAUUUGACUAAAUACAAUUUAAUUUAGUCAAACCCUAAACCCUAGACCCGUAAACCCCUAAACAAACUCUUUUGUGAAUGAUAUCUUUGCGCCUAUAGCUCCUUUGACCGGAGGUUAUCCCCUUUCCUCUCAUUCUCUACUCGACUUUAUAAACUCCUAAUACUAGGAUUUUCAUAAUUCGAGAUCCGAACAAGGAGUGAGCUAUUUUAGCCAACUCCCUUCCUUGCAAAUCUAGACCCAAACACCCCAACAUGUUAACAAACGACUGAAAAAAAAAAAAGUAAUAUCCACAAAAAUAGACAUGGUCGAAAUUCGAAAAAUACAUGUUCCUUGGUGAUAGAAUGGAAGGUUUGGGAGUGAUUGUGGUGUCCCCAUAGUUAGCAACCAUAUUGGUGGAGAUAAAGUAUUUGGUGUAAGUUAACAGAAGGUAUGAAGUAGAUGCUACAUAUUGCAUAUUACUGUCACUCAUUUUGAACAGCAACCCUCCUUCACAAAACGGUAGGGGGGAGGGGGUUAAACUUCAUUUUCUUUUUACCAUUUUACCGAUAAUAAAAAUAAAAAAGUAGUCGUUGAUCAUCAAAAUAAAAAAGACCUGGAGCGUAUUUGGGGGAGGAGAAUGAUUCUCUGAGAAUGAUAAAGCAAAUGGCGUUGUUGUUGGGGGUUCUUGGCACGGUGUAGGAACGUUAGUUGAACCUUGCUGAAACUUUUGUUAGUUAAACAAUUGAAAGCAUUUUUUUAUUUUUACAAUAAUAGCAGCCAUACACACAUAUAUAAUAAAAGUUUUACAUAUUCUUGUCUCUUGAAUUCAUCUUUUCUUAAAUAGUACAAUAUAGAAGAGAAAAUAUAAAAAGAUCGCAUGCUCCCUUUUCCUCUUCUUGCUUAUAGUUUUGCACGAUCUUUACUCUCUCCUUGGUUUUUGAUUCAUGUCUUCUGCUCUAAAUAACAUAGAAAAUUUUGAAGACAUAUGAUUAAAUAAAGAAGAUUAAGAAGAGAGAAAGAAACUUAAAAGAUAAAAUACUUUAGGGCCAAACAAUCUUCAAGAAGAUCCACCCUUAGAAACACAUACCUGAAACCGAAACUUGAAACAGAACCUUGAAACCCUAAACCCCAACCCUCGAACCCCAACAAACGAACCACAAAACCUCCAAACCUUUCAACCCCAAAACCCCAAAACUCCUAAACCCAAAACUUGAAACUUCAAACGCUCCAUCCCGAUGCUCGAAAUCACGAACCUCGAACCGAUCCAUGCAACCUAAACCCCGAAACCUGAAACCCUAAACUCCAAACCCCCAAACCCCAAAACUCCUAAACCCAAAACCUCAAAACCUCAAACCUCAAACCUCAAAUGCUCCACCCCAAAGCCUGAAGUCACGAACCCUGAACCGAUCCAUACAUCUUAAACCCUGAAACCUGAAACACUAAACCCUAAAUCCCUAAAAACCUAAAACCGUAAACAAUAAACCCUAAACUUUAGCCCCUAAACCAUAAACCCUAAAGUACCCCAAAACCCAAACCUCGAAACCUCGAAAAGUCUAAACUUUGAAACCUAAAACCCCUAACCCAACCUCAAACCUCCAACCCCCAACCCCAAACCCAAAAACCCGAAACCUGAAACUUGAAAACCCAAACGCUCUACCCUGACACCUGAAAUCACGAACUCCAAACCCUGAAACACCUAAAACCGUAAACCGUAAACCAUAAAUCCUAAAUUUUAACCCUUAAACCAUAAACCGUAAAGUACACCAAAGUACCCCAAACCACGAACCACGAACCCCAACCCCAAACCACGAACCCUGGACCCCAAACCCCAAUCCCCAAUCCCCAAUCCCGAAACUUGAACCCUAAAAUCCUAAACACUAAACCCUAAAGUACCCUUAACCCCAAACCCCAAACCCCGAACCUCGAACGUCGAACCUCCAACCUUGAACCCUGAAAACGAAACUUAAAACCCAAAAACCACAAACCUCGAAACCCAACCCCCAAACCUUCAAACCCUCAAACCUCAAACCUUCCAACCCCAAACCUUCCCAACCCCUAAACCUCCAAACCCCAAACCCUUAAACCCUGAAACUCGAUAUCUAAAACCUGUAAUCCUAACUUCAAACUUUGUUGGUGGAGAUAACAGUUUCUAUUAUUUAGGCAGUAUCUAUGCAUUUUGCAUUAUGGAUUGGUUUGAAAUUUUUAGUUUCUUAUUAUAAUUCGAAUUACAUGCAUUAUGGGUAUCAAACUUUGAUUAAUAUUGGUCAUCGUCUCGGAAUCUAAUAACACACAACCCUAUAACUCUAACCUAAACCCUAAACCCUGAAACCCCAAACGCUCCACCCCGAAUCCCAAAAUCACAAACACUGAACCGAUCCAUGCACCUUAAACCCUGAAACCUAAAACCCUAAACCCUAAACCCCUAAAAACCGUAAACCAUAAAUCCUGAACUUUUAACCCCUAAACCGUAAAACCUAAAGUACCCCAACCCACGAACCCCGAACCCGAAACCCGAACCCAAAAUCCUAAAUAACAAACCCUAAAGUACCCCAAACCCUGAACCCCGAACCUCGAACCUCAAACCUUGAACCCUGAAUGUGAAACCUAUAAUCCCAAAACUGCAAACCUCGAAAAGUCUAAACCUCGAAACCCAAAAUCCCUAUACCAUAACCCAAAACCUUCCAACCCUCAACAAACCCCAAAACCUCAAAACCUCGAAAAGUCUAAACCUCGAAACCCAACUCCCAACCUCUCAAACCUUCCAAGCCUUAACCCUCAAACCUUCCAACACCCAAACCUCCAAACUCCCAACCCCCAACCCCAACCACAAAACCUCUAAAUACCAAAACUCAAAAUCUGAAACCUGAAAUCCUAACUUCAAACUUUGUUGCUGGAGAUAAGAAUUUCUAUUAUUUAGGGAAUAUCUGUUGGAAUUUUUUGUCCUAAAACUCGUAGUUUGUAAAUCAUAUUCUAUUCAAUAAAGUUGUUAUUGAGAAAUUAAAUAUUAUAAUCUUAAAUCCAAUAAAUCAAAGUUCCAAGGCUAUUUUUUGAAUAAACUUGAACUUUAUGUGUAAACAUAAACGUGGAUCAAGUUCGAGUAUAUAGCCUAAAUAGUCUAUAGUAUAUGAAAUAAAGGUUGGGCGCCUUAUUUAGAGAAACUAUGGAUGCGGCCCACUUUGUAGUACAAACGAGGUGAUCCUAAUCGUUCAUGUAGAGACAUGAAAGUGGGGGCAUCCUAUGUAAAAUGUUUACAUAAGACUGAACAUGAAAUAGUCAUUUUUACGUUAUAACACCGUUUACUGUUUAAAACUGACUAUCUCAAUUAUUGAUGACCUAGGUAACUUAGUCUUAAUCCUGAGUUAACUAUGAACUCCUGUUCAUACGAGAUUAUCCUUAGAUCUGCAUAGGUGAGGGCAGCUCAUCAGCGUUGGCCCAAUAAGCCUCCCAUUUCAGGGGUAAGAUCGGGUGGAUAGCUGGGAACAUAGGGUACAAGAUGGAAUUCACUCCUACCCGCUUUAGGGUUAGUAGAUAGGUUGCUCUCUUAAGCACUGAAUCCAAGUCUUGAACAAGGGCCCCACCCUCUCACUGGCCCGAGAGGGAUUAAGUUUAUAGGUUGAACCUUAAACCAAUUGUUCAAUAGUGGAUUAGUGGGACUUAAGGAGCAAGAUGUAAUCUUGGGGGUAAAACGGUAUUUUGACCCAGCCAAGGUUACGAGCAACCUGUGAAGGAUUAACUUACUGAUUAUGGUUUUAUCAAAUGGACACAAAUAUAUCUAUAGUGAGGGGAGUGCAACUACGGGACUUUAGUGGAAUGACCCGUUAGUUAACGAAUGUUGAUUAACUCGGUUUAAAAGAGUUUAGCUAGUUAAUCUUGAAUCGUUGGAGCCCAUGAUCUAUAGGUCCAUUAGGUUCCUCUGCUAGCUCAUAUGGAUUAAACUUAGAACAGUGUGAUGAAAUAAGUCGAAUUGUUCGAAUUGGGAGAAGAAAGGGAAACCGACAAAUAUAGUGAUAUAGUCGUCGGUCUUCUAAUUAGAAAUAGAGCUUUAUGUUUUACAUACUAUAAGUAUGAAUGCGGAUUCAUACUAAGAAGCUCGGAAUUGGUCAAAAAUAGUAAAAAGUCAAAAUGUUGACUUUUGACUUUGAAAAAUCAAACUUUGACCGGCCUUAUAUUCAAAUGUGAUUUGAAUUUUGGAAAAAUGAAUGCGGAUUCAUGCUCGGGAGGUUGGAAUUAGUCAAGACGGACAAAAUGGUAAAAAGUCAAAAUAUUGACUUUUGACUUAGAAAAGUCAAAGUUUGACUUUUGACUAGAAAAUUCUAAUGACCAUUUUACCCUUGGACUAAGUUAGUGGGAAAAUCCAACAUUUUGUUGGAUAAUCCCACUAACUCUUAGUGGGAUAUGUGGCUAUAUGAGAUAUAGACACCUAGCCCACUAAGUUCCACUAAUUGUUAGUGGAAUAUUAGGUGUUGAGAUUUGGCAAUUGAAUUGCAUGCAUUUUUGCAUGUAAUUAGGCUAUAAAUAGAGAUGUUUUCAAAUGUUGAAGGACUUUUGCCUCUUUUAUCAUUUUUCAUAAUCUCAACAAAAAGAAAAAAGAAAGCUUCCAAUCUCAUUUUAUCUCCAUUACUUUCUACAUCAAAAUUGGGUCCCACAACCCGGUUCUUUGUCUAGAGGAUAGCAGUUGAGUACUAGUGGUGGUCUCGGGUAGAAUUUGUAAGAAGACAUCAAACCUUUUGAAAGCUUCAAAGGUAAUACUUCUUAAAACCCUAAUUUGAUUAGUUUAUGGUUACAUGUUAAUUGUGGCAAUUAGGGUAGAAAUUCGAUUCUUUUUCCGCUGUGCAUGACUUAGUUCUAUCAAUAUCUAUGUAUUUUGUAUUAUAGAUUGGUUUGAAAUUUUAAGUUUCUUAUUAUGAUUCGAAUUACAUGCAUUUUGGGUAUCAAACUUUAAUUAUAUUGGUCAUCGUCUUGAAAUCUAAUAACACACAUCCUUAAAACUCUACCCUAAACCCUAAACUCUGAAACCCCAAACGCAUCACCCCAAAGCCCAAAAUCACGAACCUCGAACCAGUCCAUGCACCCUAAACCCGAAAACUUCAAACCGUAAAUCCCAAAUCCUCUAAACCCCUAAACUCCUAAACCUCAAAACUUCUAAACCUCAAAACUCAAAAUCUGAAAUCUGAAACUUGUAAUCCUAACUUCAAACUUUGUUGGAUGAGAUAAAAAUUUGUAUUAUUUAGGGAAUAUUCAUGGAUUAGUUUGAAAUAUUGAGUUUUUUAUUAUGAUUCGAAUUACAUGCAUUUUGGGAACCAAACUUUGAUUAAUAUUGGUCAUCGUCUCGGAAUCUAAUAACACCCAGCCCUAUAACUCUAACCUAAACCCCAAACACUCCACCACAAAUCUCGAAAUCACGAACCCCGAACCGAUCCAUGCACCCUAAACCCGAAAUCUGAAAUCGCAAACCAUAAAUCCUAAACUUUAACCCCUAAAUCAUACACCCCAAAGUACCCCAAACCUCAAACCACGAACCUCAAACCUUAAUCCCGAAACUCGAACCCAAAAUCCUAAACACUAAACCCUAAAUUACCCCUAACCCCGAACCCUAAACCUCAAAUCUCGAACCUCGAACCUCGAACCUUGAACCUGGAACCCUGAACCAAAAACCACCAACCUCGAAACCUCGAAAAGUCUAAACCUCGAAACCCAAACCGCAAACCUUCCAACCCUCAAACCCCAACCCCAAACCCCCAACCCAAACUCCAAAACCCAAACCUCAAAAGUUCGAAAAGUCUAAACCUCGAACCCCAACCCCUACCUCUCAAACCAUCAAACCCUAAACCCUAAACCCCAAAACCCCAAAACCCUAAAACCCCAAAACGACCAAACAAUGCUUAAGUGUAAGUUCGUAACUCACAAACUAACAAAAAGAUCAAAAUGCGUGAAAAAUGCACUUUGAGACAUAAAAUGACAACCAAGUAUGCAAGUGAAACAAACUUAGUCUUAAACAAAUCUAAAAAAAUUUCAAACUGUGUUUAAGUAUCACUUGAACUUUCAGAACGACCUAAGAAUGUUUAUUCGUAAGUUUGUCACUCAUAACCUACCAAAAAAUUCAAAAAGUACGGAAAAGAAAAAAACACUACAGGACCCAAAAUGGCAACCAAGUGUGCAAGUGCAACAAACUUAGUUCCAAACCAACCUAAAAAGUGGUCAAGGCAUGUCCAAGUAUUACUUGGACUUUCAAAACGACUUAACAAAGCUUAAGUGUAAGUUGGUAACCCAUAGCCUACCAAAAAGUUCAAAAAGUGUGAAAAGGGCACUUCAAGACCCAAAAUGGCAACCAAGUGGGUAAGGUCAACAAACUUAGUUUCAAACGAACCUACAACGAGUUCAAAACGUGUCUCAGUAUAACUUGAACUUUCAAAACGACCUAAAAAAUCUUACGUGUAGGUUCGUAACUCAUAACCUACCAAAAAAGUUCAACUAGUGUGAAAAAAGCACUACAAGACCCAAAAUGGCAACCAAGUGUGCAAGUGCAACAAACUUAGUGCAAACCAACCUAAAAUGUGCUCAAAACGUGUCUAGGUAUUACUUGAGUUUUCAAAACGACCUAGCAAAUCCUAAGUGUAAGUUCGUAACUCAUAAUCUACCAAAAAGGUUGAAAAAAGAAUUUCAAGACCAAAAAUGACAACCAAGUGUGUAAGUGCAACAAACACAAUCUAGCCUAAAAUGUAAUCAAAACGUGUGUAAGCAUCACUUGAAUUUUCAAAACGACCAAACAAUGCUUAAAGUGUAAGUUUGUAACUCACAACCUACCAAAAUUUCAAAAAGUGUGAAAAAAGUACUUCAAGACCCAAAACGGCAACGAAGUAUCUAAGUGCAACGAACUUAGUUUCAAGCCAUAUAGAGUUCAAAACGUGUCUAAGCUUUCAAACCGACCAAACAAUACUCAAGCGUAAGUUCGUAACUCACAACCUACAAAAAUUUCAAAAAGUGUGAAAAACAAACACUUCAAGACCCAACAUGUCAACCAAAUGUGUAACAAACUUAGUUCCAAACAAACACAGCAUGUGUUUAAAACGACCUAACAAUGCUUAAGUGUAAGUUCGUAACUCAUAAACUAACAAAAAGUUCAAAAUGCUUGUGAAACAAGUAUGCAAGUGAAACAAACUUAGUCUUAAACAAAUCUAAAAAAAUUUCAAACCGUGUUUAAGUAUCACUUGAACUUUCAGAACAACCUAAGAAUGUUUAUUUGUAAGUUCGUCACUCAUAAUACCAAAAAAGUUCAAAAAGUAUGGAAAAAAAACACUCGAGGAUCCAAAAUGGCAACCAAGUGUGCAAGUGCAACAAACUUAGUUCCAAACCAACCUAAAAAGUGGUCAAGGCGUGUCUAAGUAUCACUUGGACUUUCAAAAUGAUCUAACAAAGCUUAAGUGUAAGUUGGUAACCCAUAGCCUACCAAAAAGUUCAAAAAGUGUGAAAACAGCACGUCAAGACCCAAAAUGGCAACCAAGUGGGUAAGGUCAAUAAACUUAGCUUCAAACCAACCUAAAACGAGUUCAAAACGUGUCUAAGUAUCACUUGAACUUUUCAAAGGAUCUAAAAAAGCUUAUGUGUAGGUUCGUAACUCAUAAGCUACCAAAAAGUUCAAAAACUAUGAAAAGAGCACUUGAAGACCCAAAAUGACAACCAAGUAUGUAAGUGCAACAAACUCAAUCUAACCUAAAAUGUAUUCAAAACGUGUGUAAGUAUCACUUGAAUUUUCAAAACGACCAAACAAUGCUUAAGUAUAAGUUUGUAACUCACAACCUACCAAAAUUUAAAAAAGUGUGAAAAAAGCACUCCAUGACCCAAAAUGGCAACCAAGUGCACAAGUGCAACAAAUUUAGUUCCAAACCAACCUAAAAAGUGGUCAAGGUGUGUCUAAGUAUCACUUGGACUUUCAAAACGAUCUAGCAAAGCUUAAGUGUAAGUUGGUAAUGAUAGAACUAAGACAUGCACAGCGGAAAAAAGAAUCGAAUUUCUACCCUAAUUGCCACAAUUAACAUGUAACCCUAAACUAAUCAAGUUAGGGUUUUAGGAAAUAUUACUUUUGAAGCUUUCAAAAAACUUUGAUACCUUCUUGUCAAUUCAAACCGAGACCACCACUAGUACUCAACUACUAUCCUCUUGGACAAAGAACCGGGUUGUGGGACCCAAUUUGGUGUAGAAAGAAAUGAAGAUAAAAUGGAAUUGGAAGGUAGAAAUUUUCUUCUUUUGUUGAGAGAUGUUGGAGGAUAAUAAAAAAGGAAAAAGUCUUCAACAAUUUGAAAACUCCCCUAUUAAUAACCUAAUUACAUGCAAAAAUGCAUGUAAUUAAUUUGCCAAAUCUCAACACCUAAUGUUCCACUAACAAUUAGUGGAACUUAGUGGGCUAGGUGUCUAUAUCUAUAGCCACAAAUCCCACUAAGCGUUAGUGGGAUUAUCCAACAAAAAUGUUGGAUUUUCUCACUAACUUAGUCCAAGGGUAAAAUGGUCAUUAGAUAUUUCAAGUCAAACGUCAAACUUUGACUUUUCUUAGUCAAAAGUCAAUAUUUUGACUUUUUACCAUUUUAUUCCGUCUUGACUAAUUCCAACCUCCCGACAUUGAAUCCGCAUUCAUUUUCCAAAAUUCAAAUCACAUUUGAAUAUAAGGUCGGUCAAAGUUUGACUUUUCAAAGUUAAAAGUCAACAUUUUGACUUUUUACUAUUUUUUACUAAUUCCAUCAAUUCCGAGCUUCUUAGUAUGAAUUCGCGUUCAUACUUAUAGUAUGUAAAACAUAAAGCUCUAUUUCUAAUUAGAAGACCGACGACUAUAUCACUAUAUUUGUCGAUUUCUCUUUCUUCUUCCAAUUCGAACAAUUCAACUUAUUUCAUCACACUGUUCUAAGUUUAAUCCAUAUGAGCUAGCAAGGGAACCUAAUGGACCUAUAGAUCAUGGGCACCAACGAUUCAAGAUUAACUAGCCAAACUCUUUUAGACCGAGUUAAUCAACAUUCGUUAACUAACGGGUCAUUCCACUAAAGUCCCGUAGUUGCACUCCCCUCACUAUAGAUAUAUUUGUGUCCAUUUGAUAAAACCAGAUGUAAGUUAAUCCUUCACAGGUUGCUCGUAACCUUGGCUGGGUCAAAAUACCGUUUUACCCCCAAGAUUACAUCUUGCUCCUUAAGUCCCACUAAUCCACUAUUGAAUAAUUGGUUAAGGUUCAACCUAUAAACUUAAUCCCUCUCGGCCAAUGAGAGGGUGGGCCCUUGUUCAAGACUUGGAUUCAGUGCUUAACAGAACAACCUAUCUACUAACCCUAAAGCGGGUAGGAGUGAAUUUCAUCUUGUACCCUAUGUUCCUAGCUAUCCACAUGAUCUAACCCCUGGAAUGGGAGGCUUAUUAGGCCAACGCUGAUGAGCUGCCCUCACCUAUGCAGAUCUAAGGAUAAUCUCGUGUGAACAGGAGUUCAUAGUUAACUCAGGAUUAAGAUUAAGUUACCUAGGUCAUCAAUAAUCGAGAUAGUCAGUUUUAAACAGUAAACGGUGUUAUUGAUAGAACUAAGUCAUGCACAGCGGAAAAAGAAUCGAAUUUCUACCCUAAUUGCCACAAUUAACAUGUAACCAUAAACUAAUCAAAUUAGGGUUUUAAGAAGUAUUACCUUUGAAGCUUUCAAAAGUUUGAUGUCUUCUUACCAAUUCUACCCGAGACCACCACUAGUACUCAACUGCUAUCCUCUAGACAAAGAACCGGGUUGUGGGACCCAAUUUUGGUGUAGAAAAUAAUGGAGAUAAAAUGAGAUUGGAAGCUUUUUUUUUCUUUUGUUGAGAUGAUGAAAAUGAUAAAAGAGGCAAAAGUCCUUCA
rnacentral:lncRNA from 1 species